UACGGAGGGUGCAAGCGUUGUUCGGAUUUACUGGGCGUAAAGCGCGCGCAGGUGGGUGAACAAGUCGGAAGUGAAAUCUUGAGGCUCAACCUCGAGGCUGCUCCCGAAACUGUUCGCCUAGGGACUGGUAGAGGCUGGUAGAAUUCCCGGUGUAGCGGUGGAAUGCGUAGAGAUCGGGAAGAAUACCUGUGGCGAAGGCGGCCAGCUGGGCCAGAGUCCGACACCUGAGGCGCGAA
rnacentral:rRNA from 1 species